AUUGACGGGCAAUUUGUACACUAGUUACUCUUAUCAAACAUAAUUAAUUACAUUUAAAUCCACCUUUCGACUUUAGCAAUACGGCCUAAAUAUAUAAUUAUAUAUUGUAGGUUAACUAACACCCUAAAUACUCUGCACCAAGAUCUAAUUUCUUUGACUAACACUCUUAAUUUUUCUUUUUUGAAUUAACUAAAUGACGGUGUGCAUAAAUCAAUAGGUUAGAACUACCGAGUAGUGUCGAUUACCAGCA
rnacentral:rRNA from 1 species